ensembl:snRNA U6 U6 spliceosomal RNA
GUGCUUGCUUUGGCAGCACAUAUCCUAAAAUUGGAACAAUACAGAGAAAAUUACUAUGGCCCCUGCCUAAGGAUGACACACAAAUUUAUAAAGUGCUACAUAUCUUG